CGACUUGGAGGUUGUGCCCUUGAGGCGUGGCUUCCGGAGCUAACGCGUUAAGUCGACCGCCUGGGGAGUACGGCCGCAAGGUUAAAACUCAAAUGAAUUGACGGGGGCCCGCACAAGCGGUGGAGCAUGUGGUUUAAUUCGAUGCAACGCGAAGAACCUUACCUACUCUUGACAUCCACGGAAUUCGGCAGAGAUGCCUUAGUGCCUUCGGGAACCGUGAGACAGGUGCUGCAUGGCUGUCGUCAGCUCGUGUUGUGAAAUGUUGGGUUAAGUCCCGCAACGAGCGCAACCCUUAUCCUUUGUUGCCAGCGAUACGGUCGGGAACUCAAAGGAGACUGCCGGUGAUAAACCGGAGGAAGGUGGGGAUGACGUCAAGUCAUCAUGGCCCUUACGAGUAGGGCUACACACGUGCUACAAUGGCGCAUACAAAGAGAAGCGACCUCGCGAGAGCAAGCGGACCUCACAAAGUGCGUCGUAGUCCGGAUCGGAGUCUGCAACUCGACUCCGUGAAGUCGGAAUCGCUAGUAAUCGUGGAUCAGAAUGCCACGGUGAAUACGUUCCCGGGCCUUGUACACACCGCCCGUCACACCAUGGGAGUGGGUUGCAAAAGAAGUAGGUAGCUUAACCUUCGGGAGGGCGCUUACCACUUUGUGAUUCAUGACUGGGGUGAAGACGUAACAAGGUACC
rnacentral:rRNA from 1 species